rnacentral:rRNA from 1 species
GAUGAACGCUGGCGGCGUGCCUAACACAUGCAAGUCGAACGAAGCCAUGCCGACGGAACUCUCCGGAGGGAAGACGGCACGGACUUAGUGGCGGACGGGUGAGUAACGCGUGGGUAACCUGCCCUGUACAGGGGGACAACAGCCGGAAACGGCUGCUAAUACCGCAUAAGCCUGCGGGGCCGCAUGGCCCGGCAGGAAAAGCUGCGGCGGUACAGGAUGGGCCCGCGUCUGAUUAGCCAGUUGGCGGGGUAACGGCCCACCAAAGCAACGAUCAGUAGCCGGCUUGAGAGAGCGAACGGCCACAUUGGGACUGAGACACGGCCCAAACUCCUACGGGAGGCAGCAGUGGGGAAUAUUGCACAAUGGGGGGAACCCUGAUGCAGCAACGCCGCGUGAGUGAAGAAGUACCUCGGUAUGUAAAGCUCUAUCAGCAGGGAAGAAAAUGACGGUACCUGACCAAGAAGCACCGGCUAAAUACGUGCCAGCAGCCGCGGUAAUACGU